rnacentral:rRNA from 1 species
AUUGAACGCUGGCGGCAUGCCUUACACAUGCAAGUCGAACGGCAGCACGGGUGCUUGCACCUGGUGGCGAGUGGCGAACGGGUGAGUAAUACAUCGGAACGUACCUUAUCGUGGGGGAUAAUGCAGCGAAAGCUGUGCUAAUACCGCAUACGCCCUGAGGGGGAAAGCGGGGGAUCGCAAGACCUCGCGCGAUUAGAGCGGCCGAUGCCUGAUUAGCUUGUUGGUGGGGUAAAAGCCCACCAAGGCGACGAUCAGUAGCUGGUCUGAGAGGACGAUCAGCCACACUGGGACUGAGAAACGGCCCAGACUCCUACGGGAGGCAGCAGUGGGGAAUUUUGGACAAUGGGGGCAACCCUGAUCCAGCAAUGCCGCGUGAGUGAAGAAGGCCUUCGGGUUGUAAAGCUCUUUUGUCAGGGAAGAAACACCGGCUCUAACACAGUCCGGGAAUGACGGUACCUGAAGAAUAAGCACCGGCUAACUACGUGCCAGCCGCCGCCGUAA